GGCAAGAUUAGUUAACAGUCAUUACAUACGGUUGUUUACAUCGUACCGUCAAUCAAUCAGCACGCAUGAAACUAAUUUUGCGUCCGUGACACAUACUGUUCAGAAGAAUUGUUCAGGAGAAUUAACAGUGUUGAUAUCGUAUACAAAAACAAAUAACAACAUUGCGAAACGUAAUUAAGGGAUUAGACUCCCUAAGCAAGGAAAUGAAGCGAUGGAUCAAAGAUGAAGCAAUGAUGAAGCAAUGGUGUCGUGUACUAAUGCAGAAGAAGUAUAAGAAACAAUUAAAAUCCUACAAAUUAAUCAUCAAUGAACGUAGCAUAAUAACAUCAUCAAUGAUCAGAAAAUAUCAAUAUCAAAAAGGA